UACGUAGGGGGCAAGCGUUGUCCGGGUUUAUUGGGCGUAAAGAGCGUGUAGGCGGCUUGGUAGGUCUCGCGUCAAAACCUGAGGCUCAACCUCAGUUCGCGUGGGAAACCACCUAGCUAGAGUCCGGAAGAGGAGAACGGAAUUCCCAGUGUAGCGGUGAAAUGCGCAGAUAUUGGGAAGAACACCAGUGGCGAAGGCGGUUCUCUGGGACGGUACUGACGCUGAGACGCGAAAGCGUGGGGAGCGAACAGG
rnacentral:rRNA from 1 species